GAUUGCAGGCUGCAACUCGCCUGCAUGAAGUCGGAAUUGCUAGUAAUCGUAGGUCAGCAUACUACGGUGAAUACGUUCCCGGGUCUUGUACACACCGCCCGUCACACCAUGGGAGCCGGUAAUACCCGAAGUCAGUAGUCUAACCGCAAGGAGGACGCUGCCGAAGGUAGGAUUGGCGACUGGGGUGAAGUCGUAACAAGGUAGC
rnacentral:rRNA from 1 species